UACGUAGGGGCUAGCGUUGUCCGGAAUCAUUGGGCGUAAAGCGCGUGUAGGCGGUUCGGUAAGUCUGCUGUGAAAGUCGGGGGCUCAACCCUCGAAUGCCGGUGGAUACUGUCGGACUAGAGUACGGAAGAGGCGAGUGGAAUUCCUGGUGUAGCGGUGAAAUGCGCAGAUAUCAGGAGGAACACCAAUUGCGAAGGCAGCUCGCUGGGACGUUACUGACGCUGAGACGCGAAGCGUGGGGAGCAAACAGGAUAGAU
rnacentral:rRNA from 1 species